rnacentral:rRNA from 1 species
GACGGAGGGUGCAAGCGUUGCUCGGAAUCAUUGGGCGUAAAGAGUGUGUAGGUGGUCUAAGAAGUCUGUUGUGAAAGCCUUGAGCUUAACUCAAGAAGGGCAGUGGAAACCAUUGGACUAGAGUGCUAGAGAGGGUCGUAGAAUUCCCGGUGUAGCGGUGAAAUGCGUAGAGAUCGGGAAGAAUACCGGAGGCGAAGGCGACGGCCUGGAAAGCAACUGACACUGAAACACGAAAGCAUGGGAAUCAAACAGG